CCUUGGUGUGGCAGGGUCGCUUCAUGCCCUCUAGGAGCUCAAAGAACAGGGACAGUUAGGACGGUAAGAUGGGGAGGGGUCUCUAGGAAGCGUGGAGAUUUGUCUGCAGCUAUAUGGGACUGGGAAUGUGGGAUCGAGGAGAAGCCGCCCCUAGAUUGCUCCCUCUUUUCCGCAGAAGAAUUUAACCCGAACCUGAAUCAGUCCAGCAACAGCCCCUCCUUCCUCCAGUUCCGAGGUGUACUUGAACCAGAGCUUGGGACGCGUUCAACAACUCGCCUUCCCCAUUUCCCUAUCCUUGUCCCCUCUCCCGUCCCCUUACAGACGCACCCCUUCCCCCACCUCCAGGCUCGCAUACAGCAGUCCCCAACCCCAAUCCAACGUUCCACUUACUCUUUCCACGGGGCUCCCCCGGAGCAAUUAAAACUCUACGGACCCCCGAUUAUCUGUGUUAUGAUUGCUAUAGAUUUCCUGCGUCCUAGGGGUGCGAGGACCUGGCCUUGCCCUCCCGCCUCCCCUGAACUCCGAGCUUCGGCCAAUAAAAGGGAUAUCACAGCGGGGCGACAGCAGCCGGGAUCCGAAACCUGCUUCUGUCCCUCUGCCCCAGCAUUGAAACCUAGGCUGCCUUUCUCUGCUCUGGUUGGGUUUCGUUCAUGCAUUUUGACUUACACUCCAUUUUUUUCUUUUUCCCUAUUUGGAGAAAAUGCCACCGGGGAGGGGGCUGGAGAGGAGAGAAGCUCUAUCAUGGCCGAAUCAGUUCUAUGGAGAUUCCUAGUCUCACAGCGCACCCUAGUGGACCAUCAGCGCCUCCACGCCUCCUCCCCUCAUCCCCCACCCCCUUCCCCGCUGUAGUCAGCCAGCCAUUCGCUUCAAUCUCCUGGUUUAUUACAAUCUGCAAUAUAUUACUUUCUUCCAAAGUAUUGACAACGUGCGAGAGACUCGAGCAACCCUGGGCCGCUCUCCUGUAAUCAGCAUAUUUAUUCCCGUUUAUAUGGAAAGGGAAAAAAAUCUGGAUUAAAUCCCCGUGACCUAUAUUCAGUUCCAGUGUCACUCUUGCUGGAUCCUCUUUAAACCCACUCCACACUGCUUCUCUGUCUAUUACAUGCUAAUUUAAUUUUACUAUGGACGAUAUUUUCAGCAUUUGCUGAGGACAGUAAAUUUUGUAGUUUAUGUUAUUUCACUUUUUAUGACUUUUUAACACUUAAUAAAAUUUUAUUAGAGCACUUUUGUGUUUACA
rnacentral:lncRNA from 1 species